rnacentral:misc_RNA from 1 species
AACAAAUACUAAUAAGAAUAGUUUGCUGUUGAAUGAUGAAUAGUUUAUGAAAACAAACAUAAGAAAAUGAUGCUGAGAUACACAAAUAAUUAUAUAAACCAAAUAAUAGGCAUCCGUUCGUUCACAAUAUGUAAUAAAACGAAAGAAAAUUUGAACCAUGAGAAAUCGGAGUUAGCUCUAUCAUAAACAUGCUAAGCUGACUUCGCUCAACCAGAAACACGACUUCCCCCACAAUGAGAUGCAAGAAUUUAAAGCAAUCUCAAUCCAAGUCUAGUUUAUAUUUGAAGUAUACCAAAUUUUCCAAAUAUUUUCUACUCAUGGUGAACGGUGCUUCUGAAAACAGGAUAGUAAACAUCCAAUUCAAGCUGCUCCAAAAUCUGCUGUGUAGCCCAUAGAUAGGAAGAGUGGCCUUCAAUAAUAUCAGUAAUAUCAAUAUUCUCGAUCCCUGGAACAUUGAUUGGUUGAAUUCCAGCUAAUCCUUGAGAAAGUAGACUGCUAACAAAAAGGAAUUAUUAGUUUUUAAUGAAAGAACAAACAAUUAUUUCUCAUGUUCACAAUUGGUUUUAAAAGAAGGAACAAGUAAAAAUUAUUUUCCGAGAUUAGAAAGAGCUCUGAUGAGAAAAUACUAUAUCCGUCUCUCUCUUCCCCACAAAGAACAGCAGAAUCAAAUUGUUAAAACAUUCCUAUUUGGGCCCUGCCAGAUGGAACUACACGAGGAGUUUUAAAAUCUCCAUUGAUAACACAGAUUGAAUGACAUACUUCAGCACAAAAAAGGACUGAUGAUUUACUGAUGAUGGGAUAACCAUGCAAGGAUUGUGAAAAUCUAAUUGUAAUCAUCUACAUAAGACAAUAUAACCACGUAUAGAUUGUGAAUGGCUACUCUGAAUACAAAAAUUUAAUGUCUAAUUUCAGGAAUAUUAAUCAUCCGCCAAAAGUGAGACAGAUUCAGCCAUAAACAACAUCCGAAAAUCCUGGUAGUUGUUUGACACCAACCAAAGAGAUUUGGCCUGACCUCCUCUAACUCAAGCAAUUUGAGUAAGGCUUGAUUAGAGUAGCAGAAGCCCAAACAUUGACGCAUUGCUCAGGUUGGUACUGGGUAUAAAGUUAUAAAUUGGACCCACUAAAAUUGCACCUUUAGUGGUCCACAAGCAGAUAGUGUAUAUUUAUUGCACAGAUACAUUCUCCAAUAGAGCCUUGCAAAUAACUCAUACCUUGCACGAAAAGCAACUCCAAGUGUCCAAUCAUUUGUGGAGUAUGCAUUCACAAAUCUCCCAGCCACCAUCUUUCUUGCAGCUUCCCACUUCUCGCCUUUAAUAGAGAUGGGCGCUCCAAGAAGAAUAACUUUUUCUACAAUUUCAGCAUGAUGUUCAGUAGCAGCCAAAGUCUCAAGACACUUAAAAAUAACUCGAGCUCCAAGCGAGUAACCCACAAGUGUCACAGGCCUGUUCCCUUGCAAUCCUUUCAUUAACACUUCAGCUAGCAGUUUUCCUGCUUUAUCCGAUCUGUCAACAGCAAUUGUCCAUUUGCUAUCUAUAAAAUCAGUAGCUGCAAGUAAUGUUGCUGGCCAGGCCAAUGCUGCCAAAAGCGUGCUUAACACAGUCAUCAUUGCACCUUGCCUCAUUAACUCGAAUGCAAUUCUUGACGUAAGCCAAUCUUGAAUAGCAGAACUCACUGCAAUAAGAUUUUUAGAUUCCCACUGCAGCGCAUACCUCUCUAAGUUGUCAUUUUGUCCUUCCCAAGGCCUUGUAAAAUCUUCCUUGUCAAAUACAAAACCUGAGACCAAGAUCUCAACUGCUAGUCUUCCUUGGUUGUGGUUUUCCCCUAUAGCUUUGAAUUCAAAUUCAUCAACACUUCCAGUUCUCCUAGCCAUUUUUGUCCCUGCAAGUCCAGCUCCAGCAGCUGGCUUGAAUAAAAGUAACAACAAGAAGUCAUAGUAAAUUCUAAAACAUGCAAGCAAAUUAGAACAUUGGAACCAAACUACUGAACAAUCAGUCAACUGUUCUUUCAAUACAGAUACUAGAAAAUUAUUGUAAUAAAAGGAGAUCUAAUCAUUAUGUAAGAAAGUUUGACCAUAUCUUUAGCUUUCUAGUGUAACCUGAAUUAACACAUCCACACGACAUCUUUGAUCUUUGAAGUCUAGAUUAUAGUUACUUGUGUAGAAAAUCUACAAAUGCUCUCCAAAGAAAUCACUUGCAAGAUUGGAAAAUUAAAACAAGAAUUUGCUCCAGAUCUAAAUUGCCACGUCAAUUAUUAGAUUAUGAAUCAAUGUCACUUUAUGAGACCACCCAACACAUCUCCAUUUUGUUUAGCAUGCAAUUCCACCUAUAAAAGAUUCAAUCUCAGUUGGAUCACAUAUGACCAGUCUCAUACAAAAAGAGGAUUGUGGUAUGACAACCAGUGCAAAAUUUUAUGACAUUUUUAUGAAAUGGAUCUUACACAAUAUGCUGCUGGGAUAUUACCUGAUGAAGCCGUAAACAGAAUAGAGAAAAAGGAUCUAUGUGGAAAAUCCCAACUAGAUUGAGAUUGAGACUGACUGGAGUUGAGUUUAUGUAUCAACACAACAAGGAGAAGGCUUAAUUAGGGAAAGGUCUAAAAUAAAUAAAUAAAACAAUGAAUAUGCAUAUAUGUUCAUAACUUCUGUCAGCAAAAUAAGAGUGUGCUCUUAAGAGGAGCCAUGUUCAAGCUUGACAUUUGAUAUAAGUUCAUAAGAUCGUUUACAUUUUUCUUUAAGCACACAUUUAACUAGCACACGCUGAAGCACAGUGAAAAGGUCUGACAUCUGCCCCGUCCUAAUAAUAGAAGUAAAAUGUAAUAAGAAGAGGGAAAUUAUUUUAGAAGCCUAAAGAAUGUGACUAGUAUCUACCUCCAAAUGAUGCAGUAACAGCAACAGAACCAGCAACUGUUCCCGCAGCAGUAGCAGCAGCCGCAAAUCCACUCGCUCCAAUCACAGGGAUAAGAGUGCCCAACGUGGGAGCCAGAGCACUAAAUCCUGCAGCAAUUGCUGGGGCUGCCAAUCCUCCAGUAAUAGCCAUCAAGGUUCCUCCAGUUAUUGCAGCUGCACCAAUUAUACCACCACGCUUCCAUUUAGCCCACUUGCUUUCAGCCGAUUGACUUGCUUCUUGCUUUGAUUCUUCCUCCUUUGCUAUAGCCAUUGCAGAGCAAGCAACCAUUGUCUCAAUGGCUUCCAUUUUUAUCCACUUGAUGUCAAGCCAAGUUGCCAGCAACCUCAGAGCCACACGAUGUCGAGCAUCAUAGCCCUUUCUUCGCCUGGCACAUUUUGUAUUAUCUCCACGUUUAUCUGCCAGACAAGCUGAAAGAAGCUCAUAUAAAACUGUUAUUUUCCUAUGAUAACUAAGCAUUUUUCCCUCUUCAAUGGGUUUCUCAUCAACUCUACUGGUAGAGCCGUGAUGUCCACAGUUGACACCAACCAAAUCUUUAUCCCUCUCCUCUGCAGUUUCUAAGGGCAUCUUCACUGCUUCAGAGUGUGAUUGCACCUCACCAGCAGAUAAUUUUUCACGACAUUCAUUUUCAUACUCCCUAUGCUUCUCCUUCUUAGACUUGUAAGAAUCAGCAUUUGUUUCCAUGUUUUGUGCAAUAGCAUCAACAGCCUUGGACAAAGCAAGUUCCUGAUCUGAACUUUGAGAAGAAGCAUCAUCGCCAUCUUCAGAGAGUAAACUCAGGAAUGCUCCAACAUGAUGCUUAGCCGGAGAAGAGCCGGCAGUCUCCUCAAGUCCGGGCCACGCAUUAGAAUCAACCUCUAGAAAUCUGAAAACAGGGCGGAGCAGAGCUGAGUUCUCGUGGACCCAGAGAUCAGGGUCCUCGGAUACUGAGUCGCUACUGUUACUGCUACUACUACUGAUUCGCUCCCCUUCCGUUGGUUCAUCGUGCGGAGGCAAGCCUAGCGGUUGGGUUUGAUGGAUUUGGGCUUGGUGAAGAGCGAUUGCGAACAAUGCUCCGGCAGCGUAUCUCUGCGUCGGCGGGAGCAACGACGUCGUUGUCGUCUUUGUGGUCGCCAUGAUUUGGAAUUUUUCAGAGUUCUUCCUCGUUGAGAUGGUGAGAUGCAACAGCGAGUUUAGUUGAAACUUGGAAGUUGAAAGGUUCGUUUUUCUGAAGUCGAAAAUCCAGGUGGGG